GACGAACGCUGGCGGCGUGCUUAACACAUGCAAGUCGAACGGAAAGGCCCUGCUUUUGUGGGGUGCUCGAGUGGCGAACGGGUGAGUAACACGUGAGUAACCUGCCCUUGACUUUGGGAUAACUUCAGGAAACUGGGGCUAAUACCGGAUAGGAGCUCCUGCUGCAUGGUGGGGGUUGGAAAGUUUCGGCGGUUGGGGAUGGACUCGCGGCUUAUCAGCUUGUUGGUGGGGUAGUGGCUUACCAAGGCUUUGACGGGUAGCCGGCCUGAGAGGGUGACCGGCCACAUUGGGACUGAGAUACGGCCCAGACUCCUACGGGAGGCAGCAGUGGGGAAUAUUGCACAAUGGGCGGAAGCCUGAUGCAGCAACGCCGCGUGCGGGAUGACGGCCUUCGGGUAGUAAACCGCUUUCACCUGUGACGAAGCGUGAGUGACGGUAAUGGGUAAAGAAGCACCGGCUAACUACGUG
rnacentral:rRNA from 1 species